rnacentral:tRNA from 1 species
GAGUCUAUAGCUCAACGGCUAGAGCACACGCCUGAUAAGCGUGAGGUUAGUUGUUCAAGUCAACUUAGACUCAA